rnacentral:rRNA from 1 species
AGGGGAAUAUUGCACAAUGGGGGAAACCCUGAUGCAGCGACGCCACGUGAGCGAAGAAGGUUUUCGAAUCGUAAAGCUCUGUCCUAUGGGAAGAUAAUGACGGUACCAUAGGAGGAAGCCCCGGCUAACUACGUGCCAGCAGCCGCGGUAAUACGUAGGGGGCAAGCGUUGUCCGGAAUCACUGGGCGUAAAGGGUUCGCAGGCGGAAAUGCAAGUCAGUUGUGAAAGGCAGAGGCUCAACCUCUGUAAGCAAUUGAAACUGUAUUUCUUGAGAUGUGGAGAGGCAAGUGGAAGUCCUAGUGUAGCGGUGAAAUGCGUAGAUAUUAGGAAGAUUACCGGUGGCGAAGGCGACUUGCUGGACACAAACUGACGCUGAGUAACGAAAGCGUGGGUAGCAAACAGG